CCGCCAUUACUCUGGCCAGUAACUGGCUGCUGGCGUACUAUAGAAUAUAUAGCGAAAGAAGAUGUUUGGGCUGGAAAAUCGCGUUUUUUGACCAUGUUUUUCAACGACUGUGGGAAUUUUGUACAGAAAUCGAAAUAUAUAAGGUAAGACAUAACGACUGGGCCGUCUACAGGAAUUUAGAUACUUUUCUCGAGCAAAAAUCAACAUUUUAUACAACAAUGUUUACAGUUCGAUACAAUUCUAUUUUGUGUGAAGUUUAUAUGAACACUCAUCUAAGUCAAUUGGUUAUCCUGUUCCUAAUAUUUCUUAUCAUUUCUUAUCAUUAUUGUCAUAAAAUAACUGAUAACCAUUUGUAUUUCGGAAGGACAUCGAGGUUUUAUUUAUUAAUUUGUGUUUUGACUCAAACACGCUAUGCCACUUUACUUUUGAACAUAAAUUUUCGAUGUCUUGGAUAAGAAAUUAUUUGUAAAAAGCAAAAACAAUCAUGUUACUAUGAUAAAAGACAUUUGCUGAGCGAAAUAGUGCUUUAAUAGUAAAACUGCAUGUCGAUCCAGAUCCUAAUGAAGAAUUAUUUCUAUUUCGUUCUUAUUUGCAGUGAUUACUUUAGGUUCAAAUUAAAUCCUAUUUCAUGGAGUUACCAGAAAUUUUGAGAUGCAUUUUUUGUAAAGUGUCAAUAUGUGCAAGGUUUAUAUUUGAUUGCUGCCCUACUACAUGGGUUUUUAAAUUUUAUUUAAAUUUGUUUAAUUGUCAUUAGUGUACAUGUCACCUACACAGCACCAGCUGCUGACCUUGCUAUCACUUUGUUUUCUUUUUAGUUUCAUUGCAGCUGAUCCUGUUUGCUUCUUUCAUUUCAAUACCAUACUGCUCAUUGAUUUAUGUAUGAAUAGCAUUAAUAUAAUUAACAUAGCAAUUGUAUAACAGCUAUAAUAUCUAAUGGUAUCAUAUUUUUAAAACUUAGUAAAUGAAUGGACUAUUAUUGUAUAGUAUUAAAUGAAAUAACAUUUGAAUAUGAAAAGAUACAAUUGAUUUGUGACUUGUGUUGAUGAUUUUAAUAUUGUACAGUGUGCAUUUUGUGUCC